AUCGUUGCCACACCUCUGUAAUUUCAAGAGUCAAACCCGGCCUCUUUGGGUUGCUUUACCAGCCUCAGGAGUAGAAAAACCAAAGAACAUCUAGCUACAAGUAAGACUAAGAAGAAAGUUGAGAGUGGACACUGCAAACCAUGCAAAAGCCCAAACUCUUGAAUAUUGGAGAUGAGGAUCUAUCACCAGAGGUAUAAGGGAGGGGAUAACAGAGUUUCUGGCUUUUCUCAUGGCCAAAAGGAUCACCAGCCGUCAGAGAGCAACGGUUAUGGACCCUGAGAAUACCAUCCUCUUCAUAGCUUUUCGCAAUUCUUAGAGACAAG
rnacentral:misc_RNA from 1 species